rnacentral:tRNA from 1 species
GGGGGUGUGGCCCAGGUCGUGGGCCAGGGCGGCGGCCUCGGUGAGAUCCUCGUUGAGCCGCAGCCCCCGGGCCAUGGUUCGGGCGAUCCGGGACACCUCCA